CAGCACCCGAUCCGGGGAAGGUGAGAACCUUCGACCAAGGUUCGCGUCGAGCAACGCGAGACAACGUUGCCCCAGGCAACGGCCCGCAGGGCGAGGCGCUACGCGCCGAGUCAUCCUUCCCCCACCACCA
rfam:Edwardsiella ictaluri 93-146, complete genome.